AUCCAGCCGAUGAGUCUCAAAUAGGACGAAGCGGCACGCGUCCUAGAU
rfam:Schistosoma curassoni strain Dakar, Senegal genome assembly, scaffold: SCTD_scaffold0000003